rnacentral:rRNA from 1 species
GACGAACGCUGGCGGCGUGCUUAACACAUGCAAGUCGAACGGAAAGGCCUGUCCUUCCUUGUGUUGGACGGGUACUCGAGUGGCGAACGGGUGAGUAACACGUGAGUGAUCUGCCCCCAACUUGGGUAUAAGCCUGGGAAACUGGGUCUAAUUCCCGAUAGGACUGCAGGGUGGUGCCGGUGGUGGAAAACGAUUUUCUAGUGGUUGGGGAUGAGCUCGCGGCCUAGCAGCUUGUUGGUGGGGGAAUGGCCUACCAAGGCGGCGACGGGUAGCCGGCCUGAGGUGGUGGACGGCCACAUUGGGACUGAGAUACGGCCCAGGCUCCUACGGGCGGCAGCAGUGGGGAGUAUUGCACAAUGGGCGGAAGCCUGAUGCAGCGACGCCGCGUGGGGGAUGACGGCCUUCGGGUUGUAACCUCCUUUCGACCGCGAGGAAGCCGCCUGGUUGGAAGGGUGGUGACGGUAGUGGUAGAAGAAGCACCGGCUAACUACGUG